UCGAACGCCCCCAGGGCAACCUGGGGGAGUGGCGGACGGGUGAGUAACACGUGGGUGACCUAUCCCCAAGUGCGGAAUACCGGCGAGAAAUCGCCGACAAUACCGCAUACGCUCGGAAGCCCCGAGCAAAGUCGCAAGACGCUUGAGGCGGGGCCCGCGGCCGAUUAGCUCGUUGGUGGGGUAAGGGCCUACCAAGGCGACGAUCGGUAGCUGGUCUGAGAGGAUGAGCAGCCACACUGGGAUUGAGAACGGCCCAGACUCCUACGGGGGGCAGCAGUGAGGAAUUUUCCGCAAUGGGCGCAAGCCUGACGGAGCAACGCCGCGUGCAGGAGGAAGGUCUUCGGAUCGUAAACUGCUUUUCCCAGGGAAGAGACCGGACGGUACCUGGGGAAGAAGCCUCGGCUAACUACGUGCCAGCAGCCGCGGUAAUACGUAGGAGGCAAGCGUUGUCCGGAGUUACUGGGCGUAAAGCGCCCGCAGGCGGUCCAGCGCGUUUGAGGUAACAGCUCCCGGCUUCACUGGGAGAGCGCCCCAAAGACGGCUGGACUCAGAGGACCAGAGAGGGACAGAGAAUUCCGGGUGGAGCGGUGAAAUGCGUAGAGAUCCGGAGGAAUACCGAAGGCGAAGGCCCUGUCCUGGCUGGUGCCUGACGCUCAGGGGCGAAAGCUAGGGGAGCGAACGGGAUUAGAUACCCCGGUAGUCCUAGCCGUAAACGAUGACCACUAUGUGUGGGAGGGCUCGACCCCUUCCGUGCCGCCGCUAACGCAUGAAGUGGUCCGCCUGGGGAGUACGGUCGC
rnacentral:rRNA from 1 species